rnacentral:lncRNA from 1 species
UCCUAAUCCUCCCGGUCCACAAGAAUUUCCAACACCAUGCUGGUACAUAUAUAUAUAUUCAUUACUUAAUCCAAAUAUAUUAAACGUAGCAUGACACAUGAUUUACUUGUGCUUAAUGUGUCUUUUGGAGUAUAUUAUUAGGGAAAUCUUAGUAGCUCAUCUAGUUGACUAUCUAAAAUUGAAUAGAAGACGGGUCAUUAAGCGUACUCUGUUUAUUUUUAACAAAUAUGCCCUGUUUCAA